rnacentral:misc_RNA from 1 species
AACGCACAUUGCGCCCUCUGGUAUUCCGGAGGGCAUGCCUGUUCGAGCGUCAUUAUCAACCAUCAAGCUCUGCUUGGAAUUGAGCGUCACCCCCCCUUACCGGGUGGGCGCGCUUUAAACCGGUCGGCGGUGGCUCAGGCCUCUUAAGCGUUAGUAAAUACUUCCCGCUUCUAGAGCCUGCGGUCGCCCGCCUCCAAAACCCAACACCUCAAGGUUGACCUCGGAUCAGGUAGGGAUACCCGCUGAACUUAA